AUUGAACGCUGGCGGCAUGCCUUGCACAUGCAAGUCGAACGGUAACAGGUCUUCGGAUGCUGACGAGUGGCGAACGGGUGAGUAAUACAUCGGAACGUGCCCGAGAGUGGGGGAUAACGAGGCGAAAGCUUUGCUAAUACCGCAUACGAUCUCAGGAUGAAAGCAGGGGACCGCAAGGCCUUGCGCUCACGGAGCGGCCGAUGGCAGAUUAGGUGGUUGGUGGGAUAAAAGCUUACCAAGCCGACGAUCUGUAGCUGGUCGGAGAGGACGACCGGCCACACGGGGACUGGGACACGGCCCAGACUCCUACGGGAGGCAGCAGUGGGGAAUUUUGGACAAUGGGCGCAAGCCUGAUCCAGCCAUGCCGCGUGCAGGAUGAAGGCCUUCGGGUUGUAAACUGCUUUUGUACGGAACGAAAAGACUCUGGUUAAUACCCAAGAUGAGUGGACGUUACUCGCAGAAUAAGCACCGGCUAACUCUGUGCCAGCCGCCGCGGUAAGAC
rnacentral:rRNA from 1 species